rnacentral:rRNA from 1 species
AGCGAACGCUGGCGGCAGGCCUAACACAUGCAAGUCGAACGGAUCCUUCGGGAUUAGUGGCGGACGGGUGAGUAACACGUGGGAACGUGCCUUUUGGUUCGGAACAACUCAGGGAAACUUGAGCUAAUACCGAAUGUGCCCUUCGGGGAAAGAUUUAUCGCCAUUAGAGCGGCCCGCGUCUGAUUAGCUUGUUGGUGAGGUAAAGGCUCACCAAGGCUACGAUCAGUAGCUGGUCUGAGAGGAUGAUCAGCCACAUUGGGACUGAGACACGGCCCAAACUCCUACGGGAGGCAGCAGUGGGGAAUCUUGCGCAAUGGGCGAAAGCCUGACGCAGCCAUGCCGCGUGAAUGAUGAAGGUCUUAGGAUUGUAAAAUUCUUUCACCGGGGACGAUAAUGACGGUACCCGGAGAAGAAGCCCCGGCUAACUUCGUGCCAGCAGCCGCGG